AGCAUAUCAAUAAGCGGAGGAAAAGAAACCAACAGGGAUUGCCCUAGUAACGGCGAGUGAAGCGGCAACAGCUCAAAUUUGAAAUCUGGCUUCGGCCCGAGUUGUAAUUUGCAGAGGAAGCUUUAGGCGCGGCACCUUCUGAGUCCCCUGGAACGGGGCGCCAUAGAGGGUGAGAGCCCCGUAUAGUUGGAUGCCUAGCCUGUGUAAAGCUCCUUCGACGAGUCGAGUAGUUUGGGAAUGCUGCUCAAAAUGGGAGGUAAAUUUCUUCUAAAGCUAAAUACCGGCCAGAGACCGAUAGCGCACAAGUAGAGUGAUCGAAAGAUGAAAAGCACUUUGAAAAGAGGGUUAAACAGCACGUGAAAUUGUUGAAAGGGAAGCGCUUGUGACCAGACUUGCGCCAGGCUGAUCAUCCGGUGUUCUCACCGGUGCACUCAGCCCGGCACAGGCCAGCAUCGGUUCUCGCGGGGGGAUAAAGGUCUCGGGAACGUAGCUCCUCCGGGAGUGUUAUAGCCCGGGGCGUAAUGCCCUCGCGGGGACCGAGGUUCGCGCAUCUGCAAGGAUGCUGGCGUAAUGGUCAUCAGCGACCCGUCUUGAAACACGGACCAAGGAGUCAAGGUUUUGCGCGAGUGUUUGGGUGUCAAACCCGCACGCGUAAUGAAAGUGAACGUAGGUGAGAGCUUCGGCGCAUCAUCGACCGAUCCUGAUGUUUUCGGAUGGAUUUGAGUAGGAGCGUUAAGCCUUGGACCCGAAAGAUGGUGAACUAUGCUUGGAUAGGGUGAAGCCAGAGGAAACUCUGGUGGAGGCUCGCAGCGGUUCUGACGUGCAAAUCGAUCGUCAAAUCUGAGCAUGGGGGCGAAAGACUAAUCGAACCAUCUAGUAGCUGGUUACCGCCGAA
rnacentral:rRNA from 1 species